UACGUAGGGGGCUAGCGUUGUCCGGAAUCAUUGGGCGUAAAGAGCGUGUAGGCGGCCCGGUAAGUCCGCUGUGAAAGUCGGGGGCUCAACCCUCGAAUGCCGGUGGAUACUGUCGGGCUAGAGUGCGGAAGAGGCGAGUGGAAUUCCUGGUGUAGCGGUGAAAUGCGUAGAUAUCGGGAGGAACACCUGUGGCGAAAGCGGCUCACUGGACCAUAACUGACGCUGAUGCACGAAAGCUAGGGGAGCAAACAGG
rnacentral:rRNA from 1 species